rnacentral:rRNA from 1 species
UACGUAGGGUGCGAGCGUUGUCCGGAAUUACUGGGCGUAAAGAGCUUGUAGGCGGUCUGUCACGUCGGUUGUGAAAACUUGCAGCUCAACUGCAAGCUUGCAGUCGAUACGGGCAGACUAGAGUACUUCAGGGGAGACUGGAAUUCCUGGUGUAGCGGUGAAAUGCGUAGAUAUCGAGAGGAACACCUGCGGCGAAGGCGGGUUGCUGGGCUGACACUGACGCUGAUGCGCGAAAGCCAGGGGAGCGAACGGG